rnacentral:rRNA from 1 species
GACGAACGCUGGCGGCGUGCUUAACACAUGCAAGUCGAACGGAAAGACCCUGCUUUUGUGGGGUGCUCGAGUGGCGAACGGGUGAGUAACACGUGAGUAACCUGCCCUUGACUUUGGGAUAACUUCAGGAAACUGGGGCUAAUACCGGAUAGGAGCUCCUGCUGCAUGGUGGGGGUUGGAAAGUUUCGGCGGUUGGGGAUGGACUCGCGGCUUAUCAGCUUGUUGGUGGGGUAGUGGCUGACCAAGGCUUUGACGGGUAGCCGGCCUGAGAGGGUGACCGGCCACAAUGGGACUGAGAGACGGCCCAGACUCCUACGGGAGGCAGCAGUGGGGAAUAUUGCACAAUGGGCGGAAGCCUGAUGCAGAAACGCCGCGUGCGGGAUGACGGCCUUCGGGUUGUAAACCGCUUUCGCCUGUGACGAAGCGUGAGUGACGGUAAUGGGUAAAGAAGCACCGGCUAACUACGUG